rnacentral:rRNA from 1 species
UGGCGAACGGGUGAGUAAUAUAUCGGAACGUGCCCAGUCGUGGGGGAUAACGUAGAGAAAUUUACGCUAAUACCGCAUACGAUCUAAGGAUGAAAGCGGGGGACCGUAAGGCCUCGCGCGAUUGGAGCGGCUGAUAUCAGAUUAGGUUGUUGGUGAGGUAAAAGCUCACCAAGCCGACGAUCUGUAGCUGGUUUGAGAGAACGACCAGCCACACUGGGACUGAGACACGGCCCAGACUCCUACGGGAGGCAGCAGUGGGGAAUUUUGGACAAUGGGCGAAAGCCUGAUCCAGCAAUGCCGCGUGCAGGAAGAAGGCCUUCGGGUUGUAAACUGCUUUUAUACGAGAAGAAACCCUCCGACGUGUCGGAGCUUGACGGUAUCGUAAGAAUAAGGAUCGGCUAACUCCGUGCCAGCAGCCGCGGUAAUACGGAGGAUCCAAGCGUUAUCCGGAAUCAUUGGGUUUAAAGGGUCCGUAGGCGGUCAGGUAAGUCAGUGGUGAAAGCCCAUCGCUCAACGGUGGAACGGCCAUUGAUAC